GACGAACGCUGGCGGCGUGCCUAACACAUGCAAGUCGAACGGGGCUGUUCCGGAGCUUGCUUCGGGACAGUUCAGUGGCGGACGGGUGAGUAACGCGUGAGGAACCUGCCUUUCAGAGGGGGAUAACGUCUGGAAACGGACGCUAAUACCGCAUGACAUUCCGGGAUCACAUGGUACUGGAAUCAAAGGAGCAAUCCGCUGGAAGAUGGACUCGCGUCCGAUUAGCCGGUUGGCGGGGCAACGGCCCACCAAAGCAACGAUCGGUAGCCGGACUGAGAGGUUGGACGGCCACAUUGGGACUGAGACACGGCCCAGACUCCUACGGGAGGCAGCAGUGGGGGAUAUUGCACAAUGGAGGAAACUCUGAUGCAGCGACGCCGCGUGAGGGAAGACGGUCUUCGGAUUGUAAACCUUUGUCCCCGGUGACGAUAAUGACGGUAGCCGAGGAGGAAGCUCCGGCUAACUACGUG
rnacentral:rRNA from 1 species